CGACCCCACUACCCUCCCUCACUAUGGGCAGCGAGUUCAGGUCCCUGGCCCUCUCUCCGCUGUUGGAAAGCUCUAUUACACUGCUUUCCACAUCUGUCACCCACUGCACUGUAAACGUCCUGAAAGCACCCAGCAUUAUUCCAGGCACAUUGUAAGUCCUCUUUGACUGUUGUUUAGUGAAUGAAGAAAUCAAAACAAGAAGGGCUGCUUUUUUUUUUCUGCAGAACAGAGUGUUUUAGUCACCAGUCUCCCAGGUGGCUGACCCAGGGCCUGGCAUACAUAAGUCACACAAAGCCAGCGUACCCUGAGCAGGUGUGUAACCUCCCAGUGUCUUCACGGUACACAGGCUCCUCUGCUGCUGCCUCUUGGGCCAUGGCCUGGCCAAGGCAGCUGAACUGCUGCCACUUGGGGCAGUCGUUGUGUCACUUUACUGUGCCUUCAAGCUAAGAUAGGCAGUGGUUUGGGAGAGGAAUCUGUAUUCUGAUGGCCAGGGCUGUACUGCAGUCCUCCCUCUGAGGUACAGGCUGGAUGCUGUCCAAGUAUAUGCUUGAGAUGGAGCACUGGGUAAUCAGUGCUGUUUCAACAGUGUUACUAGUAAUUGGUCUGCAGUGCAUACUGAGGGCUAGUGUCAAAUAUUCAGGAAGCCGUUGCGUGUGGCCAGGGAGCUGUUUGAUACCCUGUCCUGCAUUAAACAGACCGAUCUAUGACCUGGAGGAUUACCUUUAUUUAGCUCUGCACAGGAGGGAGAGAAACUUUUAUAGCAUAGUGGCCAAAGAUUUGUGGCAGCUUUAUAAGCAAGCCUUUAUGGCCAUGCUUUAAAAUUAGGGAUUUUAGGCCUCAGGAAAUAUCAGUUGAGGGCUAAUGCCAAUUCUCAGUGGAAGCUGAAUUGGAUGUCCCAAAUUUGGCAUCAUAACGGCUGAUUCAAACCCGCGUUCUAUGGGAAGCGCGGCCCCAAGUCUUCCCUGUGAUCCCCUCAUCGCGCGUCUCCCCCUGCGUGCCCACGAGCCCCGCGCUGCAGCCUCGCGCAAAUCUGGCAGCCACGGCUUGUCCCCUGUCGGCGGGGUCCAACAGACCCUCCGGGAGGCGAGCUGCAGCCUGGGGGCUGGCGGAGGGCGAUCGGCUAGGAAUUGUCGCCAUUCGGCCCUCGGCCUCUGCGAAGCCAGGUCUAAAUUAUAAGAUAGCAUUUAGGGAACUCUGGAUUAAAUUAUGAGACAUUCUUCAAGUUGGACACUUGUGCCUCCGGGCGGUUUCAGUUCCUCCAACCCCAGCCCCGUUUCUGCACCCCGCCAGCCUUACCCUCUUCCUUCACCGGCGUCCAGCUCCAGCCCUGCACAGGCGGCCCUGGCCUCGCGGGGCUGUCGCCCAGCCCUCCCUCCGCUCCCUGGGUGGCCACCCCGAGGCCGGGGGGCGGGGCUGCGGCAGCGCCGGCAGGGCCGCGAGGGCGGGGCCGCGGGCGGGGGCGGUGCUGCCCGGAGCGCAGGGAGUCGAGCGAGCGCGAGCGCCAGGCGCCGGGGCCAGCAUGGCGUGGCCCUGCAUCAGCCGCCUCUGUUGCCUGGCGCGGCGCUGGAACCAGCUGGACCGCUCCGACGUGGCUGUGCCACUGACCCUGCACAGCUACUCCGAACUCGAGAGCGAGGAGCCGGGCCUGGGCGGUGCCACCUCACGCAGGGGCUCGUCCCCCGCAGGCUCGCGGGACCCCGGCCGGGACGUGCCGCUUACUCAGUACCAGCGGGACUUCGGCGUGUGGACGGCGCCCGCGAGGCCCAGAGAUGCAACACUGGGGCGCGGGUCGGGAGCGGGCGGCCGCAGGAUCAAGCCCCCCGCGCCCUACAGCCGGGGGGUCUACGUGCUCCCCGUCGGCGACGCAGAUGCGGCUGCAGCGGCGACCACAUCGUACAGACAGGAAUUCCAGGCUUGGACUGGAGUGAAGCCAUCGAGAUCCACAAAGGUGAAACCCGCCACAGUCAUCACAACCCACAGCUCUGGAUGGGACAGCAGCCCCGGGGCUGGCUUCCAGGUCCCUGAGGUGAGGAAGAAGUUCGCCCCUAACCCCUCAGCCAUCUUUCAGGCCUCAGCUCCCCGGAUCCUCAACGUGUGAUUGCCCACGGAGAGGAGCGAGCAGCCACAGAGGAUCAGAACCCACUGCCCAGGGACUGGGUGAGGUCUCAGGACCAGAUGGCCCCUGCUGUCAGAGGGGGAGGGUCCUCCGUUCUCACCGUGGGGCACUACUUCCUCUCCAAGCUGCACGAGGCUGCGGGCAGAACAGAGGCACAGAGGGACACAGCACCACCCAGCUCAGCUCUGGGCCUCAGAGAUGUGUGCGGAAGGCUUCAGAUCUUUUUUAAUUGCCUCUUUUGGCCACCCUUCAUUUUUUAAAUCUGAAGAACUUGAUCAAUUCUACUGUGAACUGAAUUGGUCGUUGGGGGCUGAGGAAUAUGGACAUAACAGGUCCUUGAAAGAUCCAGUAAUGUCCACGUUGUUGUUUUCGCAGGCUGCAUGACAAUUUUAUAACCGAUGGUAACCCAACGUGGUGUCCUUGGAUAGUCCCACCAACGGCCCCACAUGUUCAGGCUGUAGAAGAAAUCUUAGGUUAUCACCUGCAUGUGACUCAUGAUGAUGCUAAGUAACCAGGAAGAAGUUUCCCAAAGAAGCAGAAUAUCAAUCAUAGGGUUUCAGUUUUAAAGACAAUUUCUUUAUGGCCAAGACGACCCUGGUUUUAACAAAACAUUUCUUGGGAUGAGUGAAGUACUGAGUGAAUGACAUUUACCUUAGUAUUACUGACUCCAGUUUUGUUCCCUUAAUGUAUUGAUGACUAGAUGGGAACUACUAUACUAAGAACUGGGAGCUUCUUUGGGAGAAGGGUGGCAUUAGCUUCAUUCCCUGAAAGACCUGAAAACGUCAUCUCAUUACAGGGAGCUCACUAGCUGUUGAGGCAGCUCAUUCUGUUUUUGGAAGGCCCUCUCCUUUCUUGACAAAUUCCAGCCAGUGCAGCCACCUGGAACUAGCCUGGUCCCCUCUUUGCACAGCAGCCCUGGAAACAUUUGAAGGAGUUUGUGUUCCUUUUAGAGAUCAGAGGCACAAGCUAAGGACAGUUUCGGUAAGGAAGCUCAAGGAUUUCCCUUUGGAUCUUUACCUCUUUCCAGCCCUCAGGUGGCUUAGCCAGGUGAGCAUUUACUUUCACCACGGGAGGUGGCAUUCAGGUUUUAGAAGCAGCUCAGAGCGGAGGCGGAGCCCUGUUUCCAGCUCAGGCUGCGAGGGGCCAUCAGUCCCCUCAGAGGUGCUAGCUCCCAGCUCUGGCACAUUUCCAGCAAAGGAAAUGUUGAGAGAAUCAUUUUAAAGGGAAAAGCAAAACCAUAUGCUUACACAAAGGGUCCUAUUAUUUCAGACUUCAUUGGUUUGCAUGUUAGAUGCUUCUAAGGGAAAAGAGACUGCGUGCUGGGCAUUCUGUGAGAAGCAAACAGAUUAAUGGUACAAUCCCAGAUUUUACUAAAACGCAAACAUAUUGUUUCAAUUUAACAUUUCUUUAAAUUAAUUAUAAACACGAACGCCUUCUCAUGUCUUCCUUUAUCUCCUCUUAGUAAGAGGACUUCAAUGUGCCAUGGCUACUGCUGCUCUCCCUUGGAGGCUUGUAGAUUCUGAGAACGCUGACCCUGGGCUGCAGUCGCACUGCUGUCGUAUGUAGUAAUAUUUAACAGAACCCACGAACUUCCUCUUUUACACUUACCCAUUUCCCCCCAACCCCACUAGGAGCCUAGGGUAAAAGGACUGUCUUUGAAGCUAGUCUUGGGCUCAAAUCUUGGCUUUUCCAUUCACUAGCUGGGAGCAGUUUAAGCUUCUGUUUCCUUAUCUGCAAAGUAUGGGUAAUGCCACUCCCCUCCCCACCCCCCCUAGAGAAUGUGUUUAUGUGCAGCGUGCUUAGUACAGUAAAUGGCCAACAAAGCACAGCUGCUGUACUUAUUCUCUCCUGCCCAAGCACCCCUUCCCGGGAGCCUGCUUUACUCCCAUCUGCAGCUUUGGUCCAUCUGAUGCCACUGACAGGCCCUCUCAGUAGCCCCUGCCUGUGUCACACCACAUAGCCAGCCAUGCCCAUCCCUCCCCCAGAGCCUGUCCCAAGAGCCCAUUCACUGAGCUGGGGGUAAAGCAGGCUGCCCCAUGCUGGCAGUGUUGGCACUGCAGCAGCGGUGGGCACACCACUGCCUGAGAGAGGCCUGACCUCUGGAAGGCAUCCUGCACACCCAGGAACAAACAGCUUUUCAAAAACACCCCAACCCAACAGCCUUCCUUACUAGACUUCAUUAAUUAUUAGAUCUGGAUUCUGAAACAGCAGCUUCCUCCCACUAGGUCUUCAUAAGGCCUUAACACUGAGAUAAUAGCAGCCUCAGCCACGUGGUCCCAACUCACCUAGGUCAUAUGUAUGAUACAAACAGACGAAGACCGAAAGGAACGCACUGGAACACUGAUGGUGGCUAUCUUUGAGAAGGGGAACUAUGGAUAAUUAAAAAUUUUUUACACCUUACAGUAUUUGCUAAAAGUUUCUAUAUAAUUAGCAUUUUUAUAUUAAAUUAAAAAGCAGUUUAAUCUGCUUGUUUGUUAGGUAAUUUUAGCCAAAGGAAAGAGUUCAAAUUAAUUAUUCCAUGACCAAAGUUAGCGCUGCAGUAGCAGCCUUGACCAGCCGUGAGGAGGCCCAACCACAGGGAGGCCCCUGGGUCCUGUCACCCACAGUCAUUUAGACCAAGACUGACGGCUCCGUAGUGAGUCGAAUUCAGAAAAACCCAUUACAAACACUGAUACUUUCAUCCUUGUAAUAACUCCAGGAUUUUCGGCCAAACUCCAAAAAGCAGCUUUUGAGAGAACCUUGGCCAUGCAGCCCACCCUGGGCCAACGGGGGACCCUUUGAGCAGGAUCAGCUCCGCUGGCCUCACUCACACAGGCGCCUUCAGUCAGUUAAGAGGGAGUCCCCGAUUAAGGUACGGCAAAACCGUGGCUGACAAAAAUAACAUUCAAGAAGGGGGUCUAGUCAAUGCCCCUAUUCUCCUUCCUCCAGACCAUCAACUUCGUAAAGGUUGACACUAAGUGAAGCCUGGUCCCAGGAAAGCUACAUACUUGGAUUGUAUUACGGGGCCUCCUCCCCAAAGAACUUCUUACCUUUGAAGAACCAAAGCUUUCAAAGCUUUUAGUUCUUAUUAAGGGUGGAUAUAAAUAAUAGUCAUUUCUGAAAUAUUUCUGUACUUGCUGUAAUUUUUUAGCCACUGUGAUAGCAGAUGGUCCCAGCAGGACUGGGUCACAGGAGUAACUUCUUUCUGGCUUCAGCACAGACCCAUUCUUGCCAGACGAACCAGUGUGCUUCUUGAUUGGACAACAGGAGCUGUUUUAAUCUUUGCUUUGGCUUUGAGGUAGUUUUCCUUUGCUCCAAGCUGUCAGAAACCACUAUGGCCAGGACCAACAUGCAUUUUUCCAAAACUUUUUCAGAUUUUUAUAUAACUGUAAUCCUUAUUUUAAGUAGCUGCAAAUUCUUUUUGGAAAGAAGUGGAAGAAUUAAUUCAAGUACACAAACACCUAUACCUUUGCCUCAUCCCAGCUCUUUUUGACCUAAUGUAAGAAAAACCCUACCAAAGUGUAGUGCUCCAAACUCAGAAAAACCCAUCACAAAUACUGAAAGAUUUAUUGUAGAUAUUUUUGUUACACAAUUAUGUUACAUAUUAUGAUACAAAUACAUUUCAUUGCAACAUUAACAUAUAUGGGGACUGUUAAAUCGCUUACUAUUUCUUUUGCAAAAAGAUAAUUUCUUGAGGCUUUCACACCUGUAAUAACUGACUCUGUUCUCAUUUGGAGCAAAUCUUCAUUCUUUAGAUCUGAGUCACAGUCCACUGCUGAAUGAGUCUACACUUGCCCAUUAACCUUGCUUGGAGUAUUUUAUGUAUGGAAUAUCUGAGCCUUUACUACUGAACUGUUUUAUUACUAAGCCAGGACGUGCCCUAUGCCUUACUGAGUAAUUUCCCUCUGCAGCUGCUGUCCUCAGAUGCUGAAUAAAGGGCAGAUUUCUUGUAGUUGCCUCCCUGCCUUCUCCUGACUCGAACAUCUAGAGGAUUCAUGAAAACGUGAAUUAUGUUGCUUGGAUAAGUUUCUUUGGCUCUGACUCACAGCUUUCACUUUUUCUUGGAGCAGAUUCCUAACUGCUGAGAAUAAAUUCUUUACUUCUACAGACUGUCAGGAGGAUUGGGGUAAAGUGUCUAUAAUGAAACUGGACAUCAUGCAGGGCGCGGCUAACUUUCCUUUUUCCGACCACUUCUGCCUCCCACUGAGAUGGCCUCUGCCUAUGACACAAUCUGUUCUCACUGCUUCUGAGCACUGACAUCCCUGUGUCUUGCCUUUGACAGUCCUUUCUCUACCUUUAAGGCACUCACAAGUGUUUAAAACACUUUUCUUCUUGGGAAAAACUCCUUGACAGAGAAGAACAAGACACCAAAUCCACUGGAUAGGUUGAACUGUCCAAGGGGCUGCUUCCCACUGGCCACUCAACGUGGAUUCAGCAGCAGAAGCUCCAGCAGACCACGCCAAUGGUGAAAAAAAACUAGUCUUUCAUCACUUGGGUCCCAGGCAGCUGUGCAGCGGGCAGAUGCUGAAGUGAGGCUGCGUUCCACUGGAGGUCCUCCAGUUUCCGGCAGAGGUUGUCAGCAGAGGAGAAUGAUGACGGGCACUCUAAAUGAGAGGUAAUCAGUCUUAUGACAGCUGUGGUGACAAAAGAAAGGGACUGUCCAUCUCCAAGGGACCAAUAGCCUGAGACCCAGAGAAGAAGGGUAAGUAUCAAGGGAGCUGACCUUCUUUCUGGUUCUAAAAUUCUAUGAAUCUAUAAUUAUGAGAACUAGUAAUUCAUAAGGGAGACAAGCACCAAGACAGGCAUCUUGCAUUAAAACAUAUGUGCUGUUAAGGACAAUCUAAGUCAAAACAGCACAUAAUUCAUACUUAUGCCACCAAAAACGAGGCCAUCCUCCCACUCCACUAAUUUGUUUUCAGAUUUUAAAUCUGGAGAAUUUAGAAAUGCACAAUGAAGAAAUUAAAACUCAUCCAUGCUCUGCUUAGAGAUAAGUACUACUAACAUUUUAGUGUAUAUUGUGCAUCCAGUCUUUAAUAAGUUGAUUUAUACAAAACCCAACAAAGAGUAUUAGAAGUUUAAAGCCAGCAGGGGCUCUGGGAAUCUUCUAGUGCAUCCCUUUCACUUUAUAGAUAAAUAAGUGAGGUCCAGACUGGGACAAGAUGGAGUUAAGGGCAGCCAGCAGGAUGGAGGUAGAGCAUCCAGCUCCUGGCUUUCUCUGUUUUAUUGGCAGGAUGCUCACAGAUCAGUCAGUCAUAUUAACAGAAAGCCUAGUACAGGUAAAGUAUUGUGCUUUACAUACACUACCGGUGAAGCACAGAAGUAAUCGACAUGGUCUCUGCUCUCCAAAGAGCUUAGAUAUAAAUCUGACAAACCCUCAAGGUUCUGAUAUUAAAUACCACUGGAGAUCAGAGAAAGGACCUGUGUUAGGGCUCUGGGGAAAGCUUCAUGGAGAAAGUGGGACUUGUGCUAAGUCUUAAAGGAACCCCCCCAGACCCUCCCUGUGCUCCAGGUUCCCUCAGACUGGGAGGUGGAGCAUCUGUUUUUCUACAGAAAUGGGGCUGAGAGGAGAAAACACUCCUUAUUCAUUAAGGUGAAACUCAAAAUAUUUUCCCCAUAUGUCUUUUAUACCCAGCUCCCCUGCACCCCUGCCCACAUAUAGCUCAGUUAUUUGUGUCUUUAUCAUAAAACAAUUCGUUUUAUCUGCAACAUUAUUAGUUGUUUAAACCUGUGCCUCCAGCACUGGGCAGUGCACUUCCAGGCUAGGUUUUGGAGAUAAAGUAACAGAUAAGACAUCGUCCCCAUCUUCAGGGAGAAGACUCGUCUGUGUGAGGGUGGCUAUAAGGUCACAAAGGAAGAAGUCACUUCUACCACAAGGAAAGGAGUUAGAUCAAGAAGGUCUUCAAAGGAGAAAUGAUGCUGAGGAAGGGGGCUCCUGAAUGAACAGUGUGUUCCUGUUGCGUGUCACGGGCCAGAACAUUCCUGGCUGGGGCACAACACUUGGGACACUUGGG